rnacentral:rRNA from 1 species
CCUACGGGGGGUAGCAGUGGGGAAUAUUGGGCAAUGGAGGCAACUCUGACCCAGCAACGCCGCGUGAAUGAUGAAGGCCUUCGGAUUGUAAAGUUCUUUUUUAAGGGAAGAAGAAAGUGACGGUACUUUAGGAAUAAGCCUCGGCUAACUACGUGCCAGCAGCCGCGGUAAUACGUAGGAGGCAAGCGUUAUCCGGAAUGACUGGGUGUAAAGGGUGCGUAGGUGGUUUGACAAGUUAGUAGCGCAACUCCGGGGCUCAACUUCGGAACUACUACUAAAACUGGUGGACUUGAGUGCAGGAGAGGCAGUCGGAAUUCGUAGUGUAGCGGUGGAAUGCGUAGAUAUUAGGAAGAACACCAGUGGCGAAGGCGGAUUGCUAGACUGUAACUGACACUGAGGCACGAAAGCGUGGGGAGCAAACAGGAUUAGAUACCCCUGUAGUC